rnacentral:rRNA from 1 species
GAUGAACGCUGGCGGCGUGCUAAACACAUGCAAGUCGAACGGAAAGGCCUCAGCUUGCUGGGGUACUCGAGUGGCGAACGGGUGAGUAACACGUGGGUGAUCUGCCCUGCACUUUGGGAUAAGCCCGGGAAACUGGGUCGAAUACCGAAUAUGACCACUUCUUGGAUGUUGUGGUGGAAAGCUUUUGCGGUGUGGGAUGAGCCUGCGGCCUAUCAGCUUGUUGGGGGGGUAAUGGCCUACCAAGGCGGCGACGGGUAUCCGGCCUGAGAGGGUGUACGGACACAUUGGGACUGAGAUACGGCCCAGACUCCUACGGGAGGCAGCAGUGGGGAAUAUUGCACAAUGGGCGCAAGCCUGAUGCAGCGACGCCGCGUGGGGGAUGAAGGCCUUCGGGUUGUAAACUCCUUUCGCUAUCGACGAAGCCACUUGUGGUGACGGUAGGUAGAUAAGAAGCACCGGCUAACUACGUGCCAGCAGCCGCAGUAAUAC